rnacentral:lncRNA from 1 species
UGCUAAUGGGCCCAUAAGCAUGAAUGAUGACGACCGAAGUGACCUUACGAGAUGGCAACAGGAGAGAAAGUGUGAUUGCAUGAUUUUACGGGUAAUAUAUUGUUAUUGUUAUUGAUUGUGCACCUAUCCAUAACUAGUUGGUGUCUGUAUUGCCCUCCUUAGAAAUAAAUAAUAGCGGUUGUGCACAUAGGUUUGUAUAUAGUGAAACCUAAACUAAGAUGAUAAAUUGUAUUAAAAUUGUGUGAGAAGAUGAAUCACAGUCAGUCCCGGGUGUGUAUGUUAGAGGAUUGCAUGUGAUGCGAAUUAAUUGUUUGGUUUGAUAUGCAUUAUUGAAG